UAAAAAAAAAAAAAAAAAAUUAAAGGGGAAAAAGGAAAGGCAUAUAUAUGUAUAAAACAUACAUAUUUGAGUCAUAUAGAAAAGUAACCCCACAGGAGCAUCUAGAGUAUAUUCUUUGUUGUCCUCCCGUUAAGACAAAAACAACUACAGCGUCUGGUGCCAGAAAGACUUAUCUGUCCUCCUGCUACUGAGUGAUGAUGAUUUUGGAGGAGGUUCUCAUGGAAGCAUCAUUCUCCCAUAAUAGAAACUGCAUGAAGACAUGUUUUGUUCCUAGUUCCUGAGAAGAUGAAUUUGGCUUUAGCUUCAAAUAAAUGAUUAAGAGCUGUAAGUAGAAGUGUUCUUCCUGCAAUGUGGUAUGUCCUGCCAUAGAGCAAAGUCACCGGUCGAUGAGAUAAAGUCUCUUUCAGGCAAGCAAACCCAACAACCAAUUUUUACCAGUGUUUAUUUUUUUAAAUGUAAUUUGUAUUAAUGGGAGUUAAGAAUUAAGUGAUAAGCUGUUGGAACCAUUGAUACAUCAACAAGAAGCAAUGUGUGAUUUGGAGCUUUGUUUUGGUCCAACCAUGCAUUUUAUCCAAAAUUGGGUAUGUGGAUCACUGAUGGUUCAAGAGAUAAUUUUGAAUAUUACAUGGAUAUGUGUUAUAAAUUUAAGGAAAAUAGAUGAAGCAGCAAAAAAUGUGGUACUUGGGUUUGACAAAAUAAUUUAUGUGGUAUGCAAACACUUGGGAAUCUUUGACUAAACAAUUGAGGCAGGAAUUAUUGGCCAAAGUUCUGUAGGGGAAAUUUUCAUAGUUUAAACUGAAAUGAGGGCCUUAUAACUCUUAAAUAUCUGUGAUCACUACAAGUCACUAGUGUGGGUGAUGAACAGUCAGGAUAUGUAAGGUGAACCUGCACAUCUUCAGACAACAGGGCAUCUUUCUGAUAUGGGUAUCAAAUCUAAUUCAGCCAUUCAAUGAAUAUACUGAGCCUCAAUGUAUGUGAAAAUAUUGUGCAGGGAGUCAAAAGAUGAAUUCGAUAAUACUUUUUCCUUCAAGGAGCUUAAUUAUAGUAUGGGGAAGAAGAUAACAAAAAUAAUUAAGCAACAGAAUAUUAAUGACACAAGAAAGGCAUAAACUAAUAAAAGCAUAAUCCAAAGGGAUUGCAGGAAAAAGAUCAGAGCUGGUUGGAAGUAAAUGGGAAAGCCAUUACUAAAAACAUGCUAUUUGAAAUGGACUUCAAAGGAUGGGCAAGAUAUUAUUACAGUUAUUAGUGGGUGACAGGAAAGUUUGAGAUAAGUUUCUGCACAAAUGUAGCAUCUGCCUAAAGUAAAAAAGAUAAGCAGCUACAAAGUUGGCCAACUUGUGGAUAUCUUUGAUAUCAAGAGGAGGAUUUCAAAUUAUGUAAAUACAUGCAGAAUACCCUGGGAUCCAGUCUUCCUUCCAACAUUGAUCAGCUGUGUUGUAAUUGUUACAUCAUUUUGAUCAGUGAUCAGCAGAAUUUUAUGAUAAUAUAUAUUUUAGGCUUUGCAGGGUACUCAGAUUUGCAGUGGUAGUUUGAAAGCAGCCAUGGACAAAUCUAAACCAUAAAAGUGAGUCCUGUUUUAAGGAACAAUAGAGAGUCCUGUUUUAAGAAACAAUAGAGAAGAAAAAAAAAAAGACAUUACUAGAAAAAUCUAGUAUUUUACCAGGAAAGAAAACAAACAAGCAAACAAGCAAAACACUUCUCAUAUAAUAUAAACAGGCCUUAGUGAUUUGAGAGGGUCUUUUAAAUCAUCUCCAUAAUAAAAGGGGCAUAACAGGAUCUGGAAAGAAUGGUGUGGCAUCAUAAAUCAUUUUAAUCUUCUUAUGAAGUUGAAGUGACUGGAGGAAGAAAUCUUAGAUCUCAAAUUCUUUUUAAAAUUAGACUGGAAAAGCACUUAAGAAUUUACAGUAAGGAACCUGAAUAGUAAGAUGGAUGUUUAUCCAAUUGUUUUAUUUUCUUGUCUUGAGAGCUGGGGGUAUGAAGUACCCACAAAGAAGCUGCCUGCCCCCUUCCAUUCUUCUAUAGGAAGAGGAAAGUAUAAAUGGGAAAGGAGAAAAGAAAACUACUAAGAUGUUAUUUCAAGUAAAAUUGAAUUUCUACUAGUUCUUGGGAGAGUAAUGGUAAAAAAGAAUAAAAGCUAAGAUUUAAAGAUUUAAAUAAAUCAUGUAUCAAAUAAAACAACUUUUGAAGACAGCAAAUCAAACUCAUAGAUUUGGAAAAACUCUCAAGCAACCAUUGAUAUACUAAGGUAAAAACAAAAUUUAUAUGAACCUUCAUAGAUAAAACAAAAAACUUCAAAUAGAAAUUUAGCUUGCAGCAGGAGCCUCUGAUCUAUACUUUUAAACAGGUUAAGCUAUGUAAUGUUUUCUGUUAUUAAGGGAAUGCAGAAGACUGUUAGUAUAGCCUCUUAGGAUGCCCAUUACUAAUAAUUAUAAGAUGAAGAAUAGCACAAUUCUUAAGAAACUUGCACUCCAGAGUUCAAUCAUAGGAUCAGACUCAGACCUACCCUCUGCAUGGCUUUUUCUUGAAAUCUCCUCUUUCUUGGCUUCCUCCUUUCCCUGUCUUUUCUUUAACUGCUUAUCAUUUGCACAGGAGUCCUUCUCUGAAGAUCUGCUUCUGGGAACUGAACCUAACACCACCAAUGGAAAGUCUGAGUUACUUUCUAGGGGAAACCUUUAUUUUUGGGAAAUAAAACAUCAUUAUUGAAGCUCUGCAGAUAAGAAUGAUACCAUGAUUUGUAUAAGAACAAUAGUUGUGGCAGGGUGCAAUGGCUCAUGCUUGUAAUCUUAGCAAUCUGGGAGGCCGA